rnacentral:ncRNA from 1 species
GAGCAACUUAGGAUUUUAGGCUCCCCGGCGUGUCUCGAGCCAUGCCGGGUCAAACCCACGGGGGCUGGCGGUCCCCGUGCGGUCAAAAUCAAACCGCUGGAG